ensembl:lncRNA
CACAUUACUAUUAAAACUAACUACACAUUUCACACAUUAACACUCUAUAUAGUAUUAUCACUCUAGUAUUAACACUACAGAUAUGUAAACAUAGAAUGUAUGGUUUUAAAUGUAUAUAUCACAAAUGGUUUACCAGUAAGUUUAAACCUAUACUGUGUUCAUUGUGCAAUUAGAGAGACAUCCAGAAUCCAAACAACAGACUACUAAUGUGUAUGUCUGAGGACGAUAUGAUUUGAUUAUUUAAAGUGAAAGACUCAGUCCUUGCAGGUGUCUGGAUUAACCUGUGGCUGGGACAGACAGGUGCUGAGUGAUGAUGCUUAGGACAAAAUGCACAUCUCUGAGCAGGUUGAAGUUCCUUUUGUGUGUGUGUUUGUGUGCAUGUAUGUGCUUGCGUGCAACAUACACGUUUUUGAAUCUGUGUUUUGUUUAUGAUACGUUGUAAUCUGAUUCCUUGCAAAAUAACGACUUGAUGUAAACUAAUCACACAAUUGUGAUCAAUUCAUAAAUGCGCACAGCUCUGUUUAUGGGUGUGUGUGUGUGUUGUUGUGUGUGUGUGUGUGUGUGUGUGUGUGUGUGUGUGUGUGUGUGUGUGUGUGUUUAUGUAAAUAAUGCAACAUAUGAUAUGUUAGGAAGAACAAAGGACUGAGAGUGCUGGCUGAAACAUGUAGAUGAUGUUCUACCAGGUCGGACACAGCCUUCUGCAGGAGGACAACCACGAAAAUAAUAAGGAAAGGCCUCUAUUUUACCGAAACAAGUCAGUGGGCCCAGAUAUUGUUCCACAAGGAUGAAUGACUCUUCAGGAAACCACACUGACCUUGAAAAAUGGGAUGUUUGCAUAGACCAGGGCUACGUUGUGCCAAAGCUGUCCGGUGCUGUCCAGGCCCUGUGCUCCUUACUCGGGAUACCAGCUCUGGUCUGGUGUCUCUGGCUCUCUCUGAGUGGAAGUCUCUCUGGAGGUCUCAAACCCACCCAGGUCUUCCCUAUUAACCUGUUUGCAGUGGAACUGGUGUUCUGUGUCCAUGGUCUCCUUGAGGUGAUCAGCUACCUAUUCAUCCCGAAGGCUAUAAUGUUACGUCAGACUGUGUAUGUCCUGUAUUACAUCUCCUGGAUCUGCAGGCCCCUGAUCCAGAGCUGCAUCUGUGUGGAGAGAUACCUGGCGGUGGCACAACCUGUGUCUUUCCUCAAGUACAGACUCCGGAGGUACAGGGUGGCGUGUUCAACCAUGGUCUGGCUGCUGUCGCUCGCUUUUGCAUGUUCUAUCAUCUCUUUAUUUGGUUAUGAAGAAACCUCAGGUUAUGUGAUCGGUAGUGUCUAUUGCCUUGGAGUGGCUGUCAUUUCUCUCUGCUGCUUCUUCAUCCUGCGUGUGCUGAAGCAGCCUGGUCCAGGAGAGGUAGAGGGGGGCAGAGAGGGAGAGAAGAAUCAGGGGACAACAGACCCACAUAAGAAGAGAGCUUUUGGGAUCAUCUUAACCAACCUUGUGGUUAUCUUGGCGAGCUCCAUCCCAGUUGUCGUUGGUUACGCCACCCUGUCAUAUAGUCUUGACUACAACUGCAAUGUCAUCCCCAUGUUGCAGAUUGUCAACGUCUUCAGUGUCCUGGUCUCACCCCUGAUGCACCUCUACAGAGAGGGACGGCUGUCAUGCCGUAGAGGGCCAGAGACACAUUAGACUUGCAGUUGCGGGCACUAAAAGCAUGUUUUAUUUUGACCAACUAAUGCUAGGACACGACAGAGCAUUGUGUUAAAUAUGCAUUGAAUUAUAACAUUUCUGUCAGUUCCGCUGCUCAGUCUAACAUCUUAGUUCCUGCAGCCGUUGGUGAAAAAGAAGUAGAUGCGGCGAAGACGUAGAAUCCAUGUCUCUUAUCUCUUAUUUGAUGAAGCUCUUCUUGUUUUAACAGCCCGUUAUCAUUAGAGUUGUUGUUAACUAAAGCUGCAUCACUUGUUUAUCUUUUAUAGUGAAUGUUGGUUUGUUUUAUGAAUUAUUAAUUUGUAUUAAUUAUUAAUGAUACAGUUAGUACGGGGUGGCUUGAUAGUGGAUUAGACCUAUUCAUUUAACAUCAGCAUUAAGUCAUGACUUGUGUUCUUCUUAAUGUUAUGUUCUACUUUCAACUGAGGGUCCUUGUCUCCCACUAAGAUGACAUAAUGAUAUUUAAAUGUACGGGGACUGACUGUGCAUGAGACUUGGCUGAUGGUGUUAUUGUGACUUAACAUUCUAACCCAGACAGUGUACACUCCUAGAAAUACAUUUGGGCUCCAUCUACUCUGGAGAUAAAAUAAAGUGUGGACCCCCCUGAUGUAAACAUUGGCUUUUUGAAUGGCUGAUGCAUUUCAUUUCAAUUUAAAUGUCUAUACAUUACUCAAAUACAGUCUAGUCUAGAUGAGUGUCAUCUUGUUAUGAGAACUUAGCAUACUGUAGAUGCCAAAUCAUAACGCCUGGACAGAAGUAUAGAUGUCCAUUCUUCCCCGAUAAGAACAAGUUGCAGAAGGUACAGUGAAAACUAAUGUCUUGAAAUGCCACAGUAACUUCAGACAAUAAUGUAAUAAUGACAUUGGCCAGUUCUAUUCAUUGACCUGUUUUCAUACUGAGGGUACUAAGAAGGUCCACGGGAUGGCAGGAAGGAGAGAAAGGUUGAAAAAGAGGAGGAAAGGAACCUGAGGAAGAGGAGAGCCUUCUGUAGCGUCCAGAUCAUCCUACAGACCUUGAUACCAUCCUACAAUCGUCGGGGAAAUCCUUCAGGAUCAUAUUUCUUUGAGAUCAUUCAGGUGUAUUCUGACUCCAAUUACUUUCUCGUUCAACAUGUUGGUUAGCUUUACUCAGCCCCUCCUCUACCUCCACAGGACUGGGAAACUGACCUGCCAUCUGGGGUUAAAGAGAAGGAUUACUGCACUGUAGGGGAAUGUUUGUCUUGCAUGUAUCAGGUUAUCAUUCUGUUCUAUUUCCUUUAAUCACAUUUUUCCUGCUAUCUAGAGGUUUUGACAUGUGUAAGAAGUGGUUAAUCAUUCAAAUAAACAGUGUGUGUAGAGAGAGCAGGGCAGAGCGGCUGAUUGGUGCGUCUGUGAAAUGUUGUAUUUGUCGUAUAGCUGUUAAUUCAUGUAAGUGGAAAUUAGGGAGCUACAUUGUGAGAAUUUACUAUCACCUCAUGCUCACAAUUCCAACCGAAUCCUAACUUUUUUGCUUGGUUUGACAAAUUGUAACCCCAAAAAUACAUACUACUAUUGUUACUGCUAUACUAUUGAGUGGUGUUCUCUAUUAAAUUGUAUUGCUGUUUGUUUCAUAAGAAGUGUGGAAUAAAGGAAAUCUGAUUGAUUCAACAGUUCAGGUCCCUGUCUGUCACAUACGAUUACAGCAUCUCAUCAAACAUGUAUCGCCCG